AACAAAGUUCCUGCUACGGUCAACUCAGAAUUACCCCCAAUGUCUCAUUAACAUCUUCCUAACAACACUGUAACAUUUUGUUUUGCAGCAUUUAUAAUUGUAUUUAAACAGACCCUAAGUUCAGUAGUGCUUGGUGUAACUUGGCCACAAGCAGGUUCGAGAAACAUCCAGAUGCUGGAGAAAUUCCCCAGCCACACUCUCCAUCCGGGACAAAUCCAAAAACAACCACAGUGCAAUAACAGAGAAAUUGAUCCCUAAACGCUCAUAAGAGCAUUGAACUUUCUGUAUACUAUCAGCUUUUGAAGUUUGGUAAGCGAUCCAAGCAGUCCGGGACUUGUUUUGAAAUGUGGUCUCCAUAACAACCCUUGAUGCCGUAGUGAUUACGAGAGCGAAUGGUUACCGUGACAACGGGUAACAACAUGACGCGAUGACGUAAUGACGCACUGACGUACGCCUCCUCAUGUGACCGGAGGAGGAGAUUCUGAACGCAUUCACACAAGGGAGUUGGAGAUCAGAGGAGAUCAUGACGCUCCAUUGAGAGAUCACGUGACCGGACUGAUAGAGCAUAGCGACAUCCCGAUUGGAAACACUCAGAGAGGAUGUCAUAGGGAGGCGGUACCCGGCACACGAGUGUCAGAGACUAUUAGGAUGAUCUAUGUAUAGUGACCAGCUGUGCCGGGACCAAUCAUAGGAGAGAGGGGGAUUUUUAAACCAGACCAGGAGAUAGAUGAGGCAUUCACAGAGGGAGCUGACCUUGAGAAAGACCCAGGCAGGGUCGGAACGCGUGGGUGCCCCAGUGGACUUAGCUGACCAGAGGAGGACGUGGUACAUCUAUGCCAGAUUAAGAAGGCUGAAUUGACACCAGAGAACUCUCCCGCUGCAGCCGGAAAGGCCUGAUGUCUGCACGCCUGUGGAACUGUAUUUUGCCAGUUUCUACCUUUUUCUGGAAUUGAUGCUGCUUGGUAGUCAGCGAGCUACCGAAACCCAUGAAAAAUAUAUUUUAUUGCUUUUUUAUUGCGCUCAAAGGAAUUAUUGCAAUGCCUUGCGUCUGCUUUAAUGAGCAUGUGUGAAAGAAUAGAAAAAAGACAGAGAAACAAAACUGGAGAACUGAAUGUCUACAACAAAUAGCUCCAAUACAGAUUCCUAUAAAGUUCUAUGACUGUUUAUCAUGGACUACAUUAUGGAAAUAAACUGCAGCGGGAUCCGGUUGCCAUAGUGACACUCAUAAACAAAUUAUGUGUAUGACGCCCUGCAUAACGAUACCUCUUUUAGCCAUGCCCCGUCUGGUGAUAUGGACGUUCUUAAGAGGAGAUUCAGGGAGGAAGUGAUGACGGAUCCUAGCUAGAAGAUGGGACUGUG